UAUUUCUCAAAACAUCUAAAGCCCUCUUGCUCACGAACCCUAAUCCCCUGCCCCCAUUGAAGCUUCUUCACUGCCAUUGGCAUCGUCUCCUUCUUUGUUUUUGGAUCUCGCUAUUUAUUGCUCCUCUCUCUCUUGCGGCCACCAUUGGAGAAUCUACGAGGAGGAGGAGAAGCGACAGUGAAAGGGGGUAUCGAGGGCGGAUGCGAUCGGUGAAGGAAGAGGAACAUCGGUGAUGAUCGGGGCUCGGAGGAGGAAGGGAAGCAUCAACAUGAACUGAAGGAUUAGAGGUGGUGGGAAGCUUGUUUACCAAUACGCCAAGAAGAGGGCGAGUAAGCCAAAGUGCCUAGUAACUGGAAAGAGAAUUCAAGGAGGUACCUGUGGAUCCUCUUGAAUGGCAGAUUUCUCAGGAUACAACCAAUAUCAUUUUCGCCUGCCUGGCUAAUACAAUCGGGGCAGCUGAAUCUGUCUUGAGGGUCGCUGCAACAGGCCAUGACAAAAGGCUAUUCUUUAAGGUGAUUGCUAUUAUGUAUCUCCUGGCAUCAUUGGGAAGAUUGGCAUCAGGAGCCACUGUUGCAUAUGCUGGUUGAAAGCUCCCAAUUAUUCUGUCACAUCACUGCUUGGUUUUUCAGAACAAGAGACACCCUAGGCCAAGCUCAAGAUUGAAUAUAGCAGUGUCAAUGUUCUGGAACAAUUUGAUAAAGCCCUUGCAGAUAAGCGCGAUCAAGGGGAAGAUGAAAAUUCUAUCAACCAAAAUGAAUUGUGGGACCUCAUUGCUAUCGGAAGUCGUAAUAGAGUGUUGGGAAAGGGUAAUAUAAGUAAGAAAAUGUCUUCAAUCAAUUACAAGACACGUUCGGGGCAUUCUCAAUCAAGUGGGCAACUAUAUGACCAAAUUAAGGAGUUGCGGGCAGAGCUUGCUAAAACCCAAGCUAAGCACAAUGCAAUGCUUGCCGAGCAUGAUAUAAUGCGAGCCAAACAUGAUGCGAUGUGGAUUGAGUGGGCUCGUCGUGAGUCAUUUGAAAUGUCAUUGCUUGCAGCACUUAGGUUGAAGGGCAUUGACCUCUCUGAUAUGCAUGUUGCUACUCUCACGCCAUCUAUCCCUAGAGCACCAACAGUGGAGGCACAAUCGCAUGUUGAUGAGCACUCUCCAACGAGAAAAAGGCUUCGCACCACACUCGUUGCUGACAACACUCUUGAUGACCCGAAUGAUGAAGAGGAUAUAUGUUAAAGCUUACUUUGAAUUUUGUCUUCUUGAUGUUGUUGGUGUAGAAGUUAGUUUCUCUUCAAUUGGCAUAUAAAGAAGAUGAAGCAACAAUUCAAGCCAUAGUUCACUUCAAUUUAUUUAGCAACAAUUCAUUCCAAUGUUUUCAAAUUUUUUUGUUGAAGGUAAAUGUCAUGAAUUGUCAUUCAGUGUGAUUUUCUAUUUUUCAGGCUGCAAAACUUUCCUUCGCGCACAUAACUAUAAGGGUAUGCGGCGAAGGCAAAGCUGGGACGAAAUGGGCUUUCUUGGUUGCCGGUUCAAGGGGAUAUCUCAAUUAUCGCCAUCAGGUAUAUGGUGUAAAAAGUUUUCAAUUUUUUACUUCAUGUCAUUGUUCUCAAAGAUGAGUUUUCUUUGUUAGUUUUAUUGAUAACAAUGUGUUUUUUCAGGUAUUUAUUUGGGAGCUUUGUGUUUGAUGUUGUUAAAAAACCCAAUUUUGUGAUAAUUAUCUGGGAAUUUUAUCUGUUGAUGUUCUUUGGUUUUACCAUUUCUAUCAUCCCCUUUGUGUAUCACUUCUUUUGGUUUAUAGUGCUUGUUGAGCAGCUUAAACCAUUUACUUAUGCUUAAAUAAAGCAAAUGUGAAUAAAAUUCCAUUUACUCAUACCCACCGCCCCCGGCCACCCACUCCUCGUUAUGGUACUAUAUAUACUUAAAUACACAUCACAUCUUUAGUGUGUUUUUUUUAACCUUACCAUCACUCUUGUAAUUACAGCAAUGAGAUGGUUCUUGUCACCUGUAACUCAUCAACCAACUCCAUACUCCUAUCACUAUCCUGUUUACAGGUAUUAUAUUAUAUUAAAUAUAUACAGCAUCAUGGUAUUGAUAUAGCUGUUCGUAUUUAUGAGCAGAGUGAGAGUGGUGCCUCUUAUCCAGGUAUCUGCUAAGCUAACUUGAUGUGUUAAUUAUAGUAAUUGUCUAAAACCAUCCUCAAAUCAUGUUCCUGCUUUUUUUUUUUGGGUUCCUAUGGAACUUUGAAAUAACUUGGUUCCUGCUGCUUACAGUUUCUCUUUUGUUCCGAUUUCAAUUCAAUUGCUUUAGAUGAAGACUAGUACAUAAUCUUUGUCUAGAGUCUUAUAAAUUUAUUAUUUUGUCGUACUUAGUGUUCUACCUCUGUCAGAAGGCUUAUGAGUUGGUUCGUCUAAUGACCACAACUUAUUAAUCUGGCUUAUAGGGAAAUUUGUGUUACUAUAUUUUGCUGCAUUAUUUCAUUCUACAUUCAUUUCCUUUGCUUACUUUUGGUUGUUAUGAUGUUUCACAAGGGGGAUAUCCGGUUAUGUGUGUGUUUGUGAAGAAUGUACUUUUCGUUAUUCUGCCAUCUGUACCAUGUUAACCUUUGUGAAAAAUCUACUAUUUUCUUCAUCAAUUUUGCUGCAUUAUGUAUUUGUGAUAUUUUGACAUUCUUUGAACUUUUCAUUGCAAUUGCGUCCUUAUAUAGGUAACAAAAAGAAAGGGAUGGGUCAAUCAUGAAAUAAAAGGCACUGAAUCUAUUGCUGAUCACAUGUAUCGCAUGGCAUUGAUGGCAUUGAUCGUUGAUGACAUUCUUGGUGUUAAUAGGGAGAGGCAGACCAAAGAGGUUGUUUAUAAUUGUAAACCCAUUUGGUGGGAAGAAGGUGGCGCCGGAAAUAUUCCAAAACGAAGUCAGACCAUUAAUGGAAGCUGCCGAAAUCCUUUAUACAGUGCAAGGUGUUGUUUUAUAUACAUUUUUUCCCUUUCUGAGAAUGAAGUGUCACCUUGAACUGGUCCAUCUUUAUUUGCUCUUGAUUUCCAGGUAUACUUGUUUAUAUUUCCUAAAAGGCACUUAUUACUCUAUAAUAUAGUUUCCUAGAAACCAUUUAAAAAAUGUAAAAAAUGUAAAAAAAGAGAAAACUAAUGAAAGCAAUGCUUUUCUUCAUUUUUUGCUUUGAGCCUGAGCUGAAGCACUCGCUUAGGUAGUGCUUCUUUGAUGGCGCUUCGCCUAGAGGGUUAUGAGGCAUUAUAGCCUCACCUUGCCUCACUUGGGCACUUAAGCGAGCGCUUUUAGUAACACUACUACAGAUUGUUGGUCAUAAUAAUAUUGAACUGUUUAGAUGAGCCUUAGACUCACCAUAACAAAAAGAGAAUCUCUUUGUGGCAUUUUUAUUUGUAAUGGUAAAUAUAGAAUUAGUUUCAUAGCAUACCUAAACAUGUAGUGGUGACAGAAAUUAGUUUCACCAAGAAUUAUUAGAUGCAAGUUGUAAAACUGGAGUGUUCUUGGUGGAUUUUGAGCUAGAUUCAAAGAGGGAUAAGGUGAGAAAAUUGCCACUAAUUAUCCAAAACAUGGAUUUAGUUGAUAAUUUCUUAUUUGGAAUUAUUAUUAAAUAAUGGGUUAAGAUUUUCCCAAGCUACACAGGAGUUCAUAAAACAACAUAAAGAGCCUUAGUAUUAUUUAGCUUAAGAGAAGUACUAUAUGCUAUAAUCAUGGUCCAACAAGAUUGUUUUGUAGUUUUUUGUUUUGGGGCAGUAGCCCUUCUUGACACUUUCAGGUAGAAUUGGUGAACGCAUUUGGUAUCCAUGUAAAUUCUCUGUGAUUUGAGAAAAAAAUGGUAUAUAUAUCAUUGUAUAUGAAGAAACACUUUUAGGAAUAUCAUCAUUUUGCUGUGAAACAACAAUGUUAUGUAAGUUGAUGUCAAUGGUUGCUCAACCUAUUGAUGUUGCUUUAAGCAGGCAUACUUUGUCGCUUUAGGAGAGCAGUAAUUGAAUGAAAAAAAUCUAUUAAUGAUGAAUAGAAUAAUUACACGCACCAAGGAGGCUAAAAUGUGUCAAAAGGAUGGAAAAUAUCUCAUCUGUAAAUUUGGCCCGCAAAGUUAUUCUUAUGCUGCGACUUAAUAUACAAUAUUUUGAAUCUGAAUGCAAGCUAUAUAGGGAUAGAAAGUCUCAUGCAGUGUGGAAUUAACCUGAACAUAAGUAGACCUAUUGUAAAGGAGGUUUUCUUGAUAGAUGAGGAUGAAUAGCAUGAAGAGAGCAAAAUUGACAAGAAUCUUUCAAACAAAUUACAUGACUUUGAACAAGGUUGAUUGAAGAAUCUUGUACUGAUGUUCCAAGAUUUUCAUAGAUGAAUAUGCUUUGGUAAUUCUGUGAUCUGUAUGUCAAUCAAUUGUCAUUUUUUGCCUCUCACAAAAAUGUUGGAAUGAUCAAAAUUUCAAAAACAAUAUACAGUGGCACAAGAUCACAUAUUUGGAUCUACAUCUCUGUGUAUGGACUAUAAUGUUUCAUUGAAUCAAUCAAUUCGUUAGAAAUUUUUAGAGCAAUUAGAUGCUUGAGUUCUAUUCUUAACCAUAAUUUUCAUACUAAUCAUUACUAUUUCAAAUGUUGUUUACAGACAAAGGGACAUAUGUGAGUAAUGAUCUACUAGCUUCUUUUUUCCUUAAUGAUCAAGUCAUAUCCUAUUAUAUUUGUAUUAACCUCAUUUGUUCUUAUUAUAUGUUCUAUCUGUACUUAUCUAUGCUUGCGAAUUGUCCAUUCUGUAAAUGUCUCUUUUCAUCUUGCUAAGAAAUUUGCUACUUGUUAAUUAUUCCUUAUCUCAUGGCUAAAAUAGGUGCAUUAAGAUGGCAAUUGCGCAUGAUAUUGCAGAAGGUAAUCAAUACUAGUUUAAAUUCUGGCCAGCAUAAUUUUUCAGUGAUGAGCUUCUACUUCAUUUUCACUGGUGGGCUCAUUACUGGAAAAAUAUUAACUUCUAAUUUUCCAGAAACAUACUUCUAAUUCUCUAGUGAUAGGAUCAUUCACCUAAACUCCCUUAUUGAUAAGCUGACUACUUUAUCAGUUAUUGUUUGCAUCCCUUUCCUUGUUAUUUUGCUUGAAUUUUACAUGUUUUAUGUUUCAAAGUGAAAUUUGUUCA